rnacentral:lncRNA from 1 species
AAUUCAAUUGUUAUUGCAAUUAAAUAAAUGAUGUAUCUGUUAAAAUUAAUUACAGAAACAUCAAUAUCAUGAAAUCAUGAAUAGCAAUUUUACCAAAGAAAGAAAAUUAAGAAAGCAAGAUAUAAACAAUUAAACAUGCAAUGCGUAUGUGAAAUGACCUCUUAAUACGGUAUAAAGACAAAACAAGAGAUGCUUAGAGUAAAACAGAGAAAAUAAUGGAUACUGAUUACUGGGUGCUGACGAUCAACUAAAAGAUAACAGUGAUUGCUUGUUAAACAUAGGAAAUACCCAACAUACUAGACAACCUUUUGGCUUCCCCGUCCGUCCUCUGGACUCUUGUUCCUGUUGGAUAAUUUGACCAUUUCUGAGUCGGAAAUAAUAAUAAAUGACUCAAAUAGUUUUAUGAUGCUAAAACAUUGCAUUCUCAAUGAAUAAAUAUUGAAAAAGUUAGGCACUGAUCAGGUAGUUAGCACUAAAUUUCAUAUUUCCAAAGCAAUUUAAUAAUGAAAAAAAAAUAUACGGAGAGAUUCUUUCCCUUAGUUGACUGUACUGCAUGUUAGGAAAUGCCAUGUAUCUAUGGACUUGUCUCACUCAUGCAACAGUUAUCGUAAUCAAAGUUUGAAAAAAAAUCAAUUCAUAGUUCACACAAUUUCCAACCUCUUCCUGGCAUCUACUAUCUCCAAUUCUCCAUUUCCAAAUUAAAAACAUCGAAUCCAUUCUCUUUUUUCUUUAACAUGAUAUUCUCUAGUUUAUGUUAGAUGCAACCCAAGUAAUAGUAUCCAAGUAAUCUAACCAAUCAACCAUCUAUAAAAAUAAAAUAGAGUGAUCAGCCAAAAUAGCCCUUUUUUAAUGUCUUCUCCUAUAUGGCUGGCUAUAUAUCCCCUUUGUUCAUCGUUUCAUCUCCACGACAAAAAAAAAAUUACUAUCGGAAUUUGGAAAGAAGAAAAAAAAAGCAAUCCCCAUCACUUGUCAUAUCAUAAUUCUAUCGUGCAGAAUUAGAUGCCCCCAUAUUCGUUCCCUUUCUUAGCUUUUUAGUUUUUAGCUUCUGGGCUUAUAUAUAUUGUCAUUUAUUCAAUCCAUUCCAAUCAAAAAUAAUAAUUCUGGGUUCUAGUUUCUACCUUCAACCAUUCCAAUGGCCGCAGAUGCAGAGACGACCAAGCUUUUCUCUAUCACUCAGAAUCCCACUUCUAGCAUUAAGGUAAAUUUAACUGCAGUCAUACGAUAACAUAAUAGCAAACAUGUGAGUACUGAUAUACUGAUAUUGAUUGAUAUACUUACUUGUGAUUUUGUGAAUCAGAGCGGAGUAACAAAGGAGUUGAGAGAGCUCUGGUCAAUGGCAGUCCCGAUCACAACAAUGAACAUUGUGGUUUACCUCCGAUCACUGAUAUCUGUUCUCUGUCUUGGUCGUCUGGGUAGUCUUGAACUCGCAGGAGGAGCUUUAUCUAUAGGAUUCACCAACAUCACCGGUUACAGUGUUCUGUUCGGACUGGCAUCCGGUUUGGAACCGUUCUGCAGUCAAGCAUUUGGAUCGAAGAACUACGAGUUGAUUUCCUUGUCUUUCCAGCGAACCAUCCUCCUU